rnacentral:tRNA from 1 species
GAGGGUAUAGCUCAAAUGGUAGAGUGCAUGCUUAGCACGCGCAAGGUCCUGGGUUCAAUCCCCAGUACUGCCU